GUCCUUGUUGCCUCGUUCCCGCACUCCUGUUUGCCUGACUUCUGCUCUCCGUGCACCGACCCAUGCCUGUCCACUGACCACCCUCAAAACCAAAGGACAAGAAGAACCCCGAGACGAAACCACAGAUGUGGGCAAAGUUGUCGAUCCAGGGAAGCAAACCGAAGGAGAAGAAAAAGACAGCGAUGGCGAGCAGCUUUCCAAAUGCUCGCCACGGCCUCUCAAGGAUCUGCCAGCUCUGGAAGAGUUCCACGAAGAGGCAGGCCAAGAUGCCGAACUGGCUACCAGCGGGGCCAACCUGAACAAAAACAAGAGAGUCAGAUGUUGUCCUAUACAGGGCCAAAGUGCACUCACCGAGCACUCCUCUUGUAAAGUCUGCAAACAUCCAGAGCGAUCGUUCCUCACGCAGCAGCCCGACUCUCUCUCUUGGGCCAUCUUCUCCUGCACCAGCUU